CAUUUACUUUUUAUCGUAUAUUAACCAACUUGUAUUUGUUAGUGACAAAAUUUAUUAUUAUUAUUUAUUUUGAAUUUUUUUUUUUAUUAUAAAUUAAUUAAUUUAUAAAAUUAUUGCGCUACUAUAUGUUGUGUAUAAUAACGAGGUAUGCACUUCUCAUCUAGUAGGACGUCGCAACCCGUUAAAUAUUGAUUUAUGAAAUAUUUUUGUGCAUUGUAUAUUAUUAUUUUAUUUUUUAUUUAUUUGUAUAAUAUAUGCCUAUAUUAUCUGAUCAAUUGUUUGACGGUAUUAAAUAAAUUACGUAAAAGAUUAAGUGUAUAUAAAAAUAAUAUUUUUAUUACACGUUCAUAUGCUAAAACGAGUAUAUAUGGGUUUUAUUUAUUAUUAAUUUUUUUUUUUUUUUUUAAAUGAAACAUAUAAUUUUAUUUGGUUUUUAUACCAAUAAAUUAUACUAUAUUACUGUCAGUUUAUAGUUUUUAAAAUUGAACAAUAAUCUUUUUGUUGGCGACGCUAUAGCUUUGGGUACUUUCAGGACCCGUCUUGAAACACGGACCAAGGAGUCUAGCAUGUGCGCAAGUCAUUGGGAAUAAAAUAUUUUUUCAUCGAAAUAUUAAUAAAUUUUAUGAAACCCAAAGGCAAAAUGAAAGUAAAAUAAUUUUUUGUUUUUUUUAAAUAAAAAAUUUGAGGGAGGAUAUAUUUUUAUUAUGUAUUAAAUAUCGCACUCCCAGGGCAUCUUAUACUAUUCUUAUAAAUAAUUUUAUAAUUUUUAUUAUGAAUAAAGGUGCACCUAGAGCGUACACGCUGGGACCCGAAAGAUGGUGAACUAUGCCUGGUCAGGACGAAGUCAGGGGAAACCCUGAUGGAGGUCCGUAGCGAUUCUGACGUGCAAAUCGAUCGUCGGAACUGGGUAUAGGGGCGAAAGACUAAUCGAACCAUCUAGUAGCUGGUUCCCUCCGAAGUUUCCCUCAGGAUAGCUGGCGUUCAUCAUUGAACGAGUCUCAUCCGGUAAAGCGAAUGAUUAGAGGCCUUGGGGCCGAAACGACCUCAACCUAUUCUCAAACUUUAAAUGGGUGAGAUCUCUAGCUUGCUUAAAAUCAUAUAUUAUAUUAUAAUUUUUUUUUAUUUUUUAUAUUUUUAUUUUAUAUAUAAAUAUAUGUGAAGCUAUGAGAAUAAUAUUAAUUUUCUUAAUAUAAAUAUUUAUGGAUCAGAAUGCCAAGUGGGCCACUUUU
rnacentral:rRNA from 1 species